AUAGAGAAACAUUGUUAAAAGGACAGAGCUCAUAACAAUGGCUGACAGAGAGUUAAGAUGGAGGUGCCCAGUUGCAGAAUAAACACGUGUGUAUUUCUAUAUUUAAUUUUACCUGGAACGGUAAAAACCAAGAUACAGAGUUACUUUCCAUAGUUACGUACAGAGUUAUAUAUUUUCUAAAUCUUUAAAUUCAACUACAUUAAUCAAAUCUGCCCAAUUUAAUAGCGU